GACUUCAUCCCAUCCAAGAGGCUGUACCUUAGCCUGUUCAACUCCUGGCCCAGCAGCAGCCAUGCCUCUUCUUCUCUAUCCUCCUUCUGCCCCCAUUCCUCUUCAGCUGCGCAAAGGCUUCUCUCCAGAAUCCCUGCAGUGCAGACCUCUGCUCUUCUCCACCAACAGCGGUAAACAAUGGUAUUACAGAUCAAAGAACGUAACGCGCCUCACGGUUAAUUGUGGAGUUUCUAGUCUUAAAGAGCCUCCUGUGAGCAAUCCUGCUGCACUAGCAAAGGAAGCUCACAAGUAUUUUGACCAGGCUGUUAUCACUAUUCGCGCUGGAGACAGCGGCCAUGGUGCAAUCCUCAGCAUGCCGAACCAGAAAAUCAAUACAAAGUCGCAAGGGCAACACGAAAAGGAGAAAAGAAUCAAAAGUUCAUAUAAGAGGGAUUCAGACGGCUCGCUUAUCCUCCCGAUGGGUGGACAUGGGGGCGAUGUUGUUCUUUAUGCAGACGAGGACCUAGAAUCUCUUCUGGAAUUUCACAAGAAGAGGCGUUAUAGUGUGAAGCGAGGAGGGAAUGUAGAUGCCAUGGGCGCUUUGACCUCCCAACUGCAUGAAGGAUUUGCCGCACCAGCACUACGAAUACCUGUGCCUGUAGGUUUUGCAAGUGUGAGAUGCCUUACAACCCGGAUGACCUUAUGAUCCAGUGCGGGGAGUGCUCUGACUGGUAUCAUCCUUCUUGUGUAGGAAUGAAAAUUGAAGAAGCCAAGAAACUUGAGCACUUCUUCUGUGAAAGUUGUUCCCCUGAAAAUGGGAAGGAGUCUGAAAAGUCGCAUAGUGCUUCAUGACAGACAGAGCAAAAGUGGUGGGAGUUCGUGUCGCCAGGUGACAGAAAAGUCGACUCGAAGCGACGGAGAAGGUGACAUUUAUAGUGUAUUCAUCUUGCGCCGUCGUGAUGUAUAGAGUUAUGUAGUUCUUCGACGCUGUGUACAUAACAUAGGGUACUUAAGUACAAUGAGUUCUUAAUGUAUAUCAGAGUAGUAGAUGGGGAAGGGUGCACCAAAUAUACAUGUAUAUACUGCUGGUUAUGUCCUAUCAUUUUAUGCGUAUGCUGCGGACUGCUUGCGGUUGCUUGUUUAAUGACACUAGCUAAUAAUACUGACUGCAGUAACUUCAUCUUGGGUUUGAGAA